rnacentral:rRNA from 1 species
GUGGGGAAUUUUGCGCAAUGGGCGAAAGCCUGACGCAGCAACGCCGCGUGUGUGAUGAAGGUCUUCGGAUUGUAAAGCACUUUCGACCGGGACGAAAACCCUCUAGCUAACAUCUAGGGGCCUGACGGUACCGGGAGAAGAAGCACCGGCUAACUCUGUGCCAGCAGCCGCGGUAAUACAGAGGGUGCAAGCGUUGUUCGGAAUUAUUGGGCGUAAAGCGCGUGUAGGCGGCUUUGCAAGUCGGGUGUGAAAGCCCUCAGCUCAACUGAGGAAGUGCGCCCGAAACUGCAGAGCUUGAGUGCCGGAGAGGGUGGCGGAAUUCCCCAAGUAGAGGUGAAAUUCGUAGAUAUGGGGAGGAACACCGGUGGCGAAGGCGGCCACCUGGACGGUAACUGACGCUGAGACGCGAAAGCGUGGGUAGCAAACAGGAUUAGAAACCCUAGUAGUCC